UCGCGCGCCUCGCCGGCAGCCAUGGUCAAGGAGAAGACGGCGGCGUUGGAACGCGCGAAGAAGGCGUCGGCGACGGAGAAGGCGAAGGGGAGAUCCACCAGCCGCGGCGGGUCUUCGUCUAGAUCUCGCCUGCCGAAAGGCUGGGUCCAGGGAGAUUGGAUCCAGUCGACCAUCACGGAGACGGAUCUCCUCGACAUGGCCAACGAGGGCCUGAUCCCUCAUGGAGCUGCGAGGCUUCCGGGGAAGGAGUGGCAGCCCCAGCCGGAAGAGGGUGAGUGCGUGCUUCUGGCUACUCACGUCAACCGCGGAUUCUCUUUGCCGCCGAGCGUUUUCUUCCGUGGUUUCUUGAACUUCUUUGGAGCGCAACUCCACCACUUCACCCCGAAUUCGAUCGCCUAUCUUGCCGCGUUUGUGUCCAUGUGUGAGAGUUUUCUGGGUUGUCGACCGCAUUGGGGCUUGUUCAAGCACAUAUUCACGUGUCGCUCUCAGACCGUGAAGAAGGCGAGCCCAGGCGACGAAAGAACCAGAGUUGUCCAAAUGUGUGGGGGUCUGGGGAUCCAGGUGAGGAACAAGAGUACCUUCCCAGCCAUGACAUUUCCCGAGUCAGUCAGAGGCUGGCAGUCGACCUGGUUCUACUGCCAGGAUCAGUCGACGCCGGGGCAGUCGAGUGGACUCCCUCGGUUCACCAUGGACCGAGUGAACAAGCCCUCAUCUCUGAAGUUGAUUCCGGAGGAGAAAGCUGACGUGAAGAUGCUGAUGGAGCGCGUAGUUCAGUUGGUUCGGGAGGGAGUGACGGGUAUGGACCUCCUGGAGGUUUUCCUUAGGCGUCGUAUCCAGCCUCUUCAGUUCCGGAGCCAUUGUAUGUGGUUGUACCGAGGGACUGAGGAUGAGACUCGG
rnacentral:rRNA from 1 species